GGCGGGGGCGGGCGAGGCGCGGGGACGCCGCGCCGCGGGGGGGGCGGGGCACACGCCGCCCGUCCCGGGAGGCGAUUGGCUGAGGGCGGAGCCGGUGGGUGGCUGCGUCAUGACUCCGCCAGCUGAUCCGAGACGGGAGCCGGCGAGUGCGGGGGGAGGCGGCGGCGGGGCCGCAGCGGGGCGGCGGCAGCAGCGGCGGGCGCCCAGCUGCUGCCCUGGCUGCCGUGCUUCUGGCUAACCAGCACCAGUUCUUCAGUGGCAAGCUUUAUGUCCUUCUCUAGUAGCUAAAGCUGCCAGUUGAAGAACUGUUGAAUGUAGCCACUCUCUUCUUGUCCCUGGGCUGCUGGACAUCAGCUAGAUCAGUGCCCUGAACGAGCGGGAUGAGCGAGUCUGCAGCAGCCGGUGGAUUCACCCCUCUGCGGGCUGAGGAUGGGCCCUGCCGGGAUGGAGAACUCGCCUUGCAGCCGCCGAGCAGAGCCUCAGCUGUGGGAUUGCCAGAAAGUCCUACCGGCAGGGUUGUGAGAUGGGGAGUGGGGUCACCGCUGUGGGGUGACACGUAACCAAGAGAACAAGAACUUCACCAAGUGAAGGGGAUAUUAAACUUUGUUUUGCUGCACAGUA